CCUACGGGAGGCAGCAGUGAGGAAUAUUGGUCAAUGGCCGUAAGUCUGAACCAGCCAAGUAGCGUGAGGGAAGACUGCCCUAUGGGUUGUAAACCUCUUUUAUGCGGGGAUAAAGGUGUCCACGUGUGGUUGUUUGCAGGUACCGCAUGAAUAAGGACCGGCUAAUUCCGUGCCAGCAGCCGCGGUAAUACGGAAGGUCCGGGCGUUAUCCGGAUUUAUUGGGUUUAAAGGGAGCGUAGGCGGGUCUUUAAGCGAGCCGUGAAAUUUUGUGGCUCAACCAUGGGAGUGCGGCGCGAACUGGAGACCUUGAGUGCGCGGAAGGCAGGCGGAAUUCGUGGUGUAGCGGUGAAAUGCUUAGAUAUCACGAAGAACCCCGAUUGCGAAGGCAGCCUGCCGCAGCGUUACUGACGCUGAAGCUCGAAAGCGCGGGUAUCGAACAGGAUUAGAUACCCUGGUAGUC
rnacentral:rRNA from 1 species